rnacentral:rRNA from 1 species
CCCCUAUUAUUAUAAUAAGGAAAAGUUUAAGGUAGUAAAUGUUAAGGUCAGGAAACUUAAAAAAUUUGGCGGUGUUUAUUUUAAUAGAGGAAUAUGUUUUUGAAUCGAUAACCCNCGUUUAUUCAACUUAAUUUAAUUUAUUUUGUAUAUCUCCGUCUAAAAAAGUAUUUUUAAAAAUAUAUUUUUAUUUUCUUUAUAUGAAAAAAGUCAGGCAAGGUGCAAAUUAUGAUUAAGAUAAAAUGUAAUACAAUAAAAUNAUUUUUGGAGUAUNAUAUUAAAAUAUUAUCUAAAUUGNAUUUAUUAUUAANUAAUUUAAUAAANAAA